GGAGGGUGCAAGCGUUAUCCGGAUUCACUGGGUUUAAAGGGUGCGUAGGUGGGUUUGUAAGUCAGUGGUGAAAUCUCCGAGCUUAACUUGGAAACUGCCAUUGAUACUAUAGAUCUUGAAUCUCGCGUAGGUAAGCGGAAUAUGUCAUGUAGCGGUGAAAUGCUUAGAUAUGACAUAGAACACCAAUUGCGAAGGCAGCUUACUUCACGAGUAUUGACACUGAUGCACGAAAGCGUGGGGAGCAAACAGGAUUAGAUACCCUGGUAGUCCACGCCCUAAACGAUGGAUACUCGACAUUAGCGAUACACAGUUAGUGUCUGAGCGAAAGCAUUAAGUAUCCCACCUGGGAAGUACGACCGCAAGGUUGAA
rnacentral:rRNA from 1 species